rnacentral:lncRNA from 1 species
GGAAUGCUUCACCACAAUCGACAUGGUUGUUUCUUCUCGCCCCAAGAUUCUCGCCUCUGAACUCAUGGGCUACAACCAUGCCAUGUUUGGCUUUGCACCUUAUGGUCCCUAUUGGCGCGAGAUACGAAAGAUUACAACGUUAGAAAUCCUUACUACUCGUCGAGUGGAACAGCUGCAGCAUGUUCGUGUCUCAGAACUUCAAAACUGGAUCAAACAGUUGUAUAAUGUUUGGUGCAGCCAGAAGAGUGAGUCUGGCUAUGCCUUGGUGGAGCUGAAGCAAUGGUUUUCUCACCUCGCAUUCAACAUGGUUCUUCGAAUGGUCGUUGGGAAGAGAUAUUUUGGUGGUGAAAACUUGCAAGAUGAGAAGGCACAGAGAUGUGUGAGGGCUGUGGAGGAGUUCAUGCGUCUGUUUGGGGUGUUCACAGUGGGAGAGUUUGUUCCAUGGUUGAGAUGGUUUGAUUUUGGAGGCCAUGAGAAGGCAAUGAAAGCAACUGCAAAAGAGUUGGAUAGUAUUAUAGGUGAGGAGUUAGAGGAACAUAGAAAAAGGAAGGGUUUGGGUGAGAAGGUUGAUGAAGCUCAAGAUUUCAUGGAUGUAAUGAUUUCAUUGCUUGAUGGAACAACUAUUGAAGGGAUCGAUGCAGAUACCAUGAUCAAAUCCACCGUACUGGUACGUAUGUUUAAUUUAUACGUUAUAAUGCUUUCAAAAUGUGAAACUUCAACAAAAACUAAACAAAACUAAACAUAUAAAUACAACAUAGUUCUUAAUUAAAUUUGGUAUUUAGUAUUGUGGUUGGUCUGGUUUUAUAACAAUGUUUAGUGGAGAUGAGGAUUAUGGGUAGAAUUAUAUGCAUGAGGUCUAGAAUUCUCUUGUUAUCUUCUAAGCUUAUAGGGAGUGUGAACCUCUUUACUUUUUAUACGGAUUAGGAUAUCCUUAAACCUUAAAGUAUGUUUUUUAAUUCAUUUUAUUUAUCAUCAUAAAAAAAAUUAAAUUUGAAUUAUUUUCUCAGAAACUGACCUUAAAAACAUUAUAAAAUACCAACUUCUCUAGCAGAAGUACAGUUUCUUUUUCUGGCACAAGAAGUCUAUUUUCUUUCACUUAUUCUUCACGCAAGUGUGUUUUAUCGUCUCUACCGUUUAUAUGGGGUUCGUUUGAUAGAGGGGAGAGAUAUGAGUGUUUUUCGGGAGAGUGAGGGAUAUAGUGAAGUUGUGAUUGAGGGAGAAAGGGACAUUUGUAGUGUUGUAUGAAUGAAAAUCAAUGGACCACUUACAAUUUUUUCUUCUUUUUCUACUUUGAUUUGGUUUUUGUGAAAAAUAAUGAAAUUUUGAAAAAAAAACUUGUAAAUUAUACAUCAUCAGUUUAGAAAUUGUUUACUUUUUCGAAGGUGGAAAUAUGCAAUGAUUAUAGAACUCAUGCAAGUAGUCCCUAGAAAAUAAAUAAAAUUAAAUAACUUUUUCUUGUAAAUUAAAAUUAACUUUAAACUAAGUUAUUUUUUAGUAAUAAGUUUUCCAAACAUAAUCUUAAUUUUCUUUACUUAAAUAUUUUUGUUGGGUGACUUAUUUGAUUUGCAGGCAGUGGUAUCAGGAGGAACUGACACAAGUAAUACAGUUCUUACGUGGGCAAUAUCUUUGAUUUUAAGAAAUCCUUCGGUGUUAGAAAAAGUAAAAGAGGAACUAGACAUUCAUAUUGGGAAAGAAAAAUGCGUAAGUGAGUCUGAUAUAAGUAAGUUAACAUAUGUUCAAGCUAUAGUCAAAGAAAGUUUAAGAUUGUAUCCUCCUGGUCCUCUUUCGGGACCUCGUGAAUUCACAGAGAAUUGCACUUUAAGAGGCUAUAAUAUAAAAAAGGGAACCCGACUAAUCACAAAUCUUUGGAAGAUUCAUACAGAUAGUAAUGUUUGGGAAGAUCCUUUGGAGUUUAAACCAGAAAGGUUUCUUACAACUCAUAAAGAUAUUGACAUCAAAGGCCAUCAUUUCGAGUUAUUACCAUUUGGAGGUGGCAGAAGAAUGUGUCCCGGAGCAUCCUUUGGCCUUCAAAUGGUGCAUUUCAUUCUUGCUAGUUUUUUGCAUUCUUUUGAAAUUAUAAGUUCAUCACCUGAUCCUAUUGAUAUGAUUGAAACCUUUGGAUUAACCAACACCAAAGCCACUCCACUUGAUAUUCUUAUUAAACCACGUCUAUCUCUUAAUUGUUAUGAAAACAAUUAAUCCAUGUGCUAGCUACGUGAUUACCUUGUAUUUUUGUUCCAAGUACUUUUUUGUUCCUACUAAAUAGUUUAAAGUACUUGUUAUGUUUGUAGUUCCUCAGAUAAAUUAUUUUAUAUUUUCGUUUUAAAGUACUUCUAAUAUUUGUUUUUUUUAUUAGUAAAGAAUAAAAUAAAUUAUUGUAAUACUUGUAAUAUUUGUAUUAUACUUUUGUAAAUUUUGUAACUCUUUCAAAUAUAUAAUUGAUAAAAGUAUAAUUAUAAUGUAUGUUGUAAUCUGUUUGCUCUGUUUCUUUGAAGUUGGAACUUGUAUAAAGGUUGAAACACUCUUAAAGUAUUUCCUUUAUUUAAUUCAUUCAUUGUUGAUAAAAAACAAUCUGAAAAAAAAUUCAAGUAGUUGACAGCUGCAACAAUCUCAAAGCUCCCAAAGCCCAUCUUGUAUGAUUUAAUCCUGUAAUGAAAAAAAUGGGCAUUUUCUUCCUGCACCCCUACAUUUUUCUUCCUGCACACCCACAAAUUUGUAAAUUUCGAAACUGACCUCCACAAUUUCAGGAUCUAAGAGUGUGUUACGGCUUCAUCAAUCCAAAAGUGAAUCAUGUUGCAUUCUGGAUGAGGGGGUAUUCCGGAAGCCUAAUUUCUAUUACGGAUUGGUGGAUCCGGAAUGAUUUUUUUCAAUUAUUGAUUUCUGAAUCCAGAAUGCAUAUUUUGAAUUACGGAUUGGCGGAUCAGGAAUGGUUUUUUCAAUUAUGGAUGUUUUGCAUUUUUUUUAUUUUGGAUUAACAUUAUCAUUCAUGUACUACUAGAAGCACCAAUCCGGGAGAUUACCGGAAGCGCCAAUCCAAAAAUUUACUGGAAGGGCCAAUCCGAAAAUUUACCAGAUUUCAUAAUCUGGAAUACAAAUUUUUUUAUAAAUGUACAGUUUAUAUAGGGACAGUUUUGUCUUUGCGCAACUUUGUGGGGGUGCAGGAAGAAAAAUGUCGGGCUGCAGGAAGAAACUGCCAAAAAAAUGAAAAAAAAUUGCAGCCUCAUCUUGUAUGGGGUUGUUUCUUCCUGCACCUCCAUAUAUUCUUCUCCCACCUCUAUAAAUUUUCAUAUUUCCAAAAAUACUCCUCUCUCCCACCUUCAUAUAUUCUUCUCUCACCUCCAUAAAUUUUCAUAUUUCCAAAAAUACUCUUAUGUAAUAUUCUGGAUUAUUUAAUCCAGAAGUCUUUUUUCAAAUUUGUAAUUAGCUUCCGGAUUACAUAAUCCAGAAGCCUUUUUUCAGGUGCAUGAUUAGUUUCCAGAUUAUAUAAUUUGAAAGUUUUUUUUAGCUUACAGAUUACAUAAUCCGGAAGUCUGUUUUCAAGCUACUCUAAGAUAAUGAAACAAGAAGGAAGCUACUCUAAAGAGAUGACACAAGAAGGCUAAAAAGUAUUUUCAUCAAGAGGUGUAGGAAGAAACAGUCCUUGUAUGAUUCAAUCCCAGUGUUAAAGCUCAGCGAAGUUUCUCAAAAGCCUUUGCACAUUAUCCUUACAAUAACCAAGAUAAUUCUUUAUUAUCCCAUCCCUUUUUAAUAAAAAAUAUUUAUUUAUCGAUUUAUAUUAAUUAUAAUAUCGUUUACAUUAAUUAAAAAAUAUAUUGUUUUAAUACAUUAAGAUAAUUAAAUAAAAUGACAAGAUAAAUAAAAAUCAUGUCAAAAAAUUAAACAAAAAAAAAUACUAAGUUAAAAAUUUAAAAAUUUCGAAUAUUCAAUAAUUUUUUUUAUUAAAAGUAAUUAAAUAUAUUCAAAUUUAUAAAAUACUUAAAAGAUAAGUACAAUUAUUUGAAAAGUUUUAGUCACGUGUGUUUUGAAAAAAAAUCCAACUUUUUUAGUUUCUUAUAUAAACUUGAGUUGGAAAAGAAUAGUUUGACAAAAAUGUACCUCUUCACCAAGCCAUCAACUUGGCUUUGAAUGAUCUAUUUAAGAAUACCACUACCAUUGAUUGUACUCAACAAAGCUCAAAUGGAUUUUGUUCUAAACUACUUGAAUACCACUGCCAUUGCAAUUCUUUCUCUAAUCCUCUUCUGUUUAUUCUUCUACAAUCCCUUCAAUCUUUUUCAAACCAAAGAGGCUCCCACUGUUGCAGGAGCAUGGCCAAUACUUGGUCACCUUCCACUUCUGACUGGUUCAAAGAGACCCCAUAGAACUUUGGGUGCUUUGGCUGACAAAUAUGGACCCAUUUUCACCAUCCAACUUGGUUCCAAAAGGGCCUUGGUAAUCAACAACUGGGAAACGGCAAAGGAAUGUUUCACCACAAACGACAUGGCCGUUUCCUCUCGCCCCAAGCUCGUCGCCGCUGAACUCAUGGGCUACAACCAUGCCAUGUUGGUCUUUGCACCCUAUGGUCCCUAUUGGCGCGAGCUACGAAAGAUUUUAACUUUAGAAAUCCUUACUACUCGUCGAGUGGAACAGCUGCAGCAUGUUCGUGUCUCAGAACUUCAAAACUGGAUCAAACAGUUGUAUAAUGUUUGGUGUAGCCAAAAGAGUGAGUCUGGCUAUGCCUUGGUGGAGCUGCAGCAAUGGUUUUCUGACCUCUCAUUCAACAUGGUUCUUCGAAUGGUCGUUGGGAAGAGAUAUUUUGGUGGUGAAAACUUGCAAGAUGAGAAGACAAAGAGAUGUGUGAAGGCUGUGGAGGAGUUCAUGCGUCUGUUGGGGGUGUUCGCAGUGGGAGAUGCUGUUCCAUGGUUGAGAUGGUUUGAUUUUGGAGGCCAUGAGAAGGCAAUGAAAAAAACUGCGAAAGAUUUGGAUAGUAUUAUAAGCGAGGAGUUAGAGGAACAUAGAAAAAGGAAGGGUUUGGGUGAGAAGGUUGAUGAAGCUAAAGAUUUCAUGGAUGUAAUGAUUUCAUUGCUUGAUGGAAGAACUAUUGAAGGGAUCGAUGCAGAUACCAUGAUCAAAUCCACCGUACUGGUACGUAUGUUUAAUUUACACGUUAUAAUGCUUUGGAAAUGUGAAACUUUAAGAGAAUUAAACAAAUAAAUACAACAUAGUUCUUAAUUAAAUGUGAAAUAUUUUCUCAGGAACUUACCUUAGUUGUGAAUAUAUAUAUUCUACUUCGUCGGUUUAGAAUCAGUUGUAUGAAAAUAUAAGGUAUAACACUUUCGUCUUAAUGAUGUAAAAGCAUUACAAAAUUCUUCACACAAGUGUGUUUUAUCGUCUUUACCGUUUAUAUGGGGUUCAUUUGAUAGACAUGAGUGUUUUUUGGGAGAGUGAGGGAUAUAGUGAUGUUGUGAUUGGGAGAGAAAGGGACAUUUGUGGUGUUGGGUGAAUGAAAAUGAAUGGACAACUUACAAGGUGUUUCAACUUUUUUUUAUAUCUCCUAGUUAAUUAUUCCAAAAGCUACAAAACAACUACCAAAUUUUCCACUCAAAUUUGGUUUUUGUGAAAAAUAAUGAAAUUUUGAGAUUUUUUUUUUAAUUGUACAUCAUCAGUUUAGAACUUGUUUAAUUUUUCCAUGGAGGAAAUGUAAAUUAUUAUAGAACUCAUGAAGUAUUCCGUAGAAAAUAAAUAAAAUUAAAUUUUUUUCUUGUAAAUUAAAAUUAAGUAUAACCUAAGUUAUUUUUAGUAAAAAGUUUUUCAAAUAUAAUCUUAAUUCACUAUAACAAAAUUAUUAAAUAAAAACUAAUUUUAGGAACCAAAAUAAUUAGUUAUUAUUUGUUUAAAUUAGAGAUCAUUUUAUAAAUUAAAAAAAUUAUUGGUAUGGAAAGUAGUUUUUAUUAUUAAUAAAAAUUUAUAAAAUAGAUUUUUAAAUUGGUAUAUAACCAUUAACUACCAAGAUUUUAACUACUUACUACUUUAUAUUCUAAAUCGGUCUCUAUUAGUCUUUUAUAGACUAAUUUAAAAUAUAAAAUAUUAGUAACUAAAAUCUAGAUAAUUAAUUUAGAUACCAAUUUAGAAAAUAUUUUAUAAAUUUUUAUUAAUAAUAGAAAUUAUCUUAGAUACCAAUAAUUUCUUAAUCUCUAAAUAAGUAUCUAAUUUAGUCAAUAUAGUGACUAAUUAUUUUUUAUGUUUAAAUUGGGUUGCUUUUAAUGAUUUUUUUUCUAGUGAUUUUCUUCACUUAAAUAUUUUUGUUGGGUAACUAUUUUGUUUUGCAGAAUGUGAUUGCAGGAGGAACUGACACAAACAAUACAGUUCUUACAUGGACAAUAUCUUUGAUUUUAAGAAAUCCUUUGGUGUUGGAAAAAGUAAAAGAUGAACUCGACACUCAUAUUGGAAAAGAGAAAUGCGUAAAUGAAUCUGAUAUAAGUAAGUUAACAUAUCUUCAAGCCAUAGUCAAAGAAACUUUAAGAUUGUAUCCUCCUGGUCCUCUUUCGGCACCUCGUGAAUUCACAGAGAAUUGCAUUUUAAGAGACUAUAAUAUAAAAAAGGGAACCCGACUAAUCACAAAUCUUUGGAAGAUUCACACAGAUAGUAAUGUUUGGGAAGACCCUUUGGAGUUCAAACCAGAAAGAUUUCUUUCAAAUCAUAAAUAUAUUGAUGUCAAAGGUCAUCAUUUUGAGCUAUUACCAUUUGGAAGUGGUAGAAGAAUAUGUCCAGCAAUAUCUUUUGGCCUUCAAAUGGUGCAUUUCACUCUUGCUAGGUUUUUGCAUUCUUUUGAAAUUGUAAGUCCAUCACCUGAUCCUAUAGACAUGACUGAAACAUUUGGAUUAACCAACACUAAAGCCACUCCACUUGAUAUUCUUAUUAAACCACGUCUAUCUCUUAGUUGUUAUGAAAACAACCAUUCCUUGUCUUAGCUACGUGAUUACAUUGUAUUUUUGUUCAAAGUACUUUUUUGUUCAUACUAAAUAGUUCAAAGUAUUGUAGUUCCUCUAUUAUAUAUUUGUAUUUUUGUUCAAAAGUACUUGUAAUAUUUGUAGUAUUAAACAUAUAAAUACAACAUAGUUCUUAAUUAAAUCUGAAAUGUUUUCUCAGGAACUUAACUUAGAUAUGAAGAUAUGUAUUUUACUUCAUCGGUUUAAAAUCAAUUGUAUGAAAAUAUAAGGUUUAACACUUUCGUUAAUGAUGUAAAAACAUUACAAAAAAUUUCAUGCAAGUGUAACACUUUCGUUUAUAUGGGAUUUGUUUGAUACAGGGGAGAGAUAUAAGUGUUCUUUUAGAGAGUGAGUAGUGACGUUGUGAUUGUUACAUAAUCUUAACAAACUAUUUAUUGUUUUCAAAGACUGGUCAAAGCAUUUAAAACUAGAGCGUAUUCAGUUAUAAAAUCAUUUAAAGCUCAUUCAAAGCACAAAAUAGUUUUCUGUUAUGGUCCCAAAACAAACAAUCAGUUGAAUGCUCGAAUCAAUCGGUUGUUUUGGUUUGACAGCAAGUCAACCAUCAAAAACAGUUUUCAACCUUUCUAAAAACACUUAAGUAUAAAACAAUUGGUUGUUUCGACAAAAUAACAGGUUAUUUUUCACUUAGUUUAAAAAAAAACUUUCAAUUAAAAGGUUUGAGAAUGCUUAAGUUUUGGAUUCAAUCAAGAGUGGAUUAACACAGACAAUCUACCCCAUAUCCUAUUCUAAAACACCUCAGCAACAGCAAACACAUCCAGCCUUCCUUCGAUCUUCAAAGGAUUUGGAUUCUUUAAAGCUUGAACACACUUGAUUCAACAAACACUACUUAGUGUUGACCUUCAAAGGACGAUCCUAAUGAUUUAGAGUAUACUACAUGUGCAAUGCAAAUCUCACAUUAUUAACUAAUUAGCAUUGUUUUUACUUAUUAAAGUUUGAACGAUCCUAUAAUAAUGUAUUUUCUUAUAGCAGAAAUAAAAGUUAAAAACUUUUCAAAAGGAAAUAGAAACUAAAAAUGAUAACAAAAUAUAAAAAUCAAGUUGGAGAAGAUAAUUUUGAGAACAUGUAUUAGUUAUGGUGACUUUAAUUGAAUUUCUCACCAUCAAUUCGGGGAAAAACAAUUUUCAACAACAAUAAAUAGUUAAAUAAAUAGAAAUAUUAGGAGUACUUCAGCCAUAUACAAAAACCUACCCUGUAGAAAAGGCUAAUACAAAGUAGGAAAAUACCCAACACCGUAUAGAUUAAUAUGAAUAUAUAUCCAUGAGUAUGGUGUAUAGAACCUCUAACAAAAAGUUAUAAUAGUGCUUCAUUCAUACAUAAUGUCAGGGAAUAAAAACGCCUAACAACACGGCCCUUCCUAUCACAAAGCUGGUACGUCUUCAGACUCACUAUCUGAUGGGGAUUUUUUGAACUGCAAUUUGAGAUUAUGUGAGCCCAGAAUUUCGGGGGAAUCAUCUAAGUUAUGGGAGAUUGGAAAGCAAUCUGGGAUAAUCUGUAGGUGGGACGAAGAAGAGGUUGUGAAAGAAUACGAUUGCAUGGAAGAGAGAGAUGUUCAGGUUAUGGAAAAGUAUGAGGAGGGUAAAAAGAAAGAGCAUCUAUGUUGAUAGUAAAUUUGAACAUAAGAAGGUUAGGGGGAAGUACUAAAGCUCGAUAUUUAAAGCACAUUAUAACUAGAGAGGAGGCGGAUUUUGUAUGUAUUCAGGAAACAAAACAGAUGGUCCUUUCGGAUGCAAGAUGCUUUUCCUUAUGGGGGGAUAAUAAUGUGGGAUGGGUACAUUACGGAGGAGACAAUGGUAGUGGUAGUCUGCUCUCUAUGUUGCAUAAAGAAGUUUUCUGCUAUGACUCUCAUGUGAUGGGGAAGGGGUUUAUUGUUGUGUUUGGCCAACAUAAGGGUUCAAAAUGUAGGUGUGUGGUGGUGAAUGUUUAUGCUAAUUGUUCCCUGAGUGAGAAGGUAUCCUUGUGGGGGGAACUGACAAACCUAAAGAAGGGUUCAGCAGACUCCGUUUGGUGCUUCUGUGGUGACUUCAAUGCCAUAAGAAAGCGGUGUGAAAGAAAAGGAGUUAAUAUGCGGGACAACCAAUCCAAUGAGAUGAGAGGUUUUAAUAGCUUCAUUGAUACUAAUUUUCUUAUUGAAAUACCUUUGGUGGGAAAGCCCUUUACGUGGUUUAAUUCAAAUGGCAAGGCUAAGAGCAGGCUAGACAGGGUGUUGGUUACCGAAGAUUGGAUGCAAACAUGGCCUAUGUGCAAGCAAUAUGUGCAACGUAGGGAGGUGUCAGACCAUUGCGCCAUAGUGGUGAAAUCUGUGGAGAAGGACUAGGGUCCUAAACCUUUCAGAUCUAUAGAUGCAUGGUAUACGGAACAGGGUUUUGGCCAUAUGGUGAAGGAAAAAUGGAUAUCCUAUCCCUCUCAGGGGAAUGCCUUCACAGUGAUAAAAGAAAAGAUGAAGAGGUUGAAGGGGGAUUUGAAGGUGUGGAAUAGGGAUGUCUUUGGAAAUCUGGAGACAACAAAGAAAUCCAUUUUGUUGGAGCUUGAGGCUCUAGAUUGCCAAGACUGUAGUGUAGGGUUAUUGGAAGAUGAGAGAUUACACAGAAUUGGUUUGGUGAGUAGAUUGAAGGAGACUGAUAAGAAGCUAGAGUCUUUGUUGUGCCAAAAAGCUAGAGCCAGUUGGUUAAAGAGUGGAGACUCAUGCACGGAAUUUUACCACACUUCUCUAAGAUGGAGACGGCUAAAAAAUGAAGUUAAAGGUGUUAAGGUGGGGGGCCAGUGGUGUGAAGAGCCUUGUACAAUCCGUGGUGAAGCUAAGAAGUUGUUUGAAAAAAGGUUUGAGGCAACAAGAGAUUUUGGUGUUAGACUUGAUGCGGUAGAGUUUAAUUCUUUAAACCAGGAGGAGAAUUUAAAGCUGAUAGCAGAGUUCACAGAGAAGGAAGUUAGGGAUGCGGUGUGGCUUUGUGAAGGUUCCAAGUCCCCAGGACCUGACGGGUUUAAUUUUCUCUUCAUAAAGAAAAGCUGGGAGUUCAUCAAAGUAGAGUUUAUGGCAGCUUUGGCUUCUUUUCAUAGUACAGGUCAUAUUCCCAAAGGUUGUAAUGCCUCUUUCAGUGCUCUUGUUCCUAAAGUUGGAGAUCCAAUCCUGCUUGAGCAGUAUCGUCCUAUCUCUUUAGUUGGGGCCACCUACAAAAUUAUCUCUAAGGUCCUAGCAGGAAGAAUGAAGAAUGUACUUUCCUCUAUUAUUAAUGAAAGCCAGUCGGCUUUUAUUAAGAACAGAGGGAUACUCGAAAGUGUGCUUAUGGGUAAUGAAGUAGUGGAGGAUCUCAGGAGGAGUGGGAGAAGUGGAUUGUGUCUGAAGGUGGAUUUUGAAAAGGCGUACGAUUCGGUUAGCUGGGUCUUCCUUUACGACAUGCUCCAAAGGUUAGGGUUCCAUAGUAAGUGGAUUGGUUGGACCAGAGGUUGUAUGGAAAGUGCAACAUUCAGUUCUGGUUAAUGGGAGCCCUGCGGAGGAAUUCAAACCCUCGAGAGGGUUGAGGCAGGGCGACCCUCUUGCGCCAUUCCUCUUUACAGUGGUAGCAGAAGGUUUGGCUGGUAUAGUAAGGCAAGCGGAAAAGGCCAGAUUACUUUCUGGUCUUAAGAUUGGGAGAAAGGAGGUUGUACUGAGUAUCCUACAGUAUGCAGAUGACACUGUUUUUUUCUGUGAGGACUCUUACACCAACGUGGUGACACUGAAAUCCAUCCUCAGGGGGUAUGAGCUCGCUUCAGGGCUGAAGAUCAAUUUUCACAAGUCAAAACUUACAGGUAUUAAUGUUCAAAGAAGUAAUCUUGAUUGCUACACAAAGACUUUGAAUUGUGUUCAGACGGGUUUCCCGUUCAAAUAUUUGGGUCUUGAAGUGGGAGGUAAUUCGAGAAAGAAGAAGUUUUGGGAGCCUGUGAUAAACAAACUUAAAGCAAGGCUCAACGUGUGGAAAGGAAGAUUCCUAUCUAUGGCAGGGAGAAUAUGCCUUAUUAAAUCUGUUUUAUCCUCCGUCCCGCUAUACUAUCUGUCACUUUUCAGAGCACCGAUCACGGUUUGUAGAAGUAUCACCAGAAUCCAAAGGAGGUUCCUAUGGGGGUGGGGGAAGGAGAAGGAGACGAUAUCAUGGGUAAGUUGGAAAGAGUUAUGUAAGCCAAAAGAGGAGGGUGGUCUGGGUUUGAGAGAUGUGCAUAACUUCAAUCUUGCUUUGCUGGCUAAAUGGAGAUGGCGUCUCCUAGUGGAUGAAAAAGUUAGGUGGAAGGAUCUGUUGGUCUCGAAGUAUGGAUCGAGUUCUAAUGCUUCACAGUCACCAGUGAAACUUCAAUCAUGAUGGUGGAGAGACUUGUUCAAAGAUUGCAGGGAGGACAGAGGAGAUGAUUGGUUCAACAAAGAGAUCGGGUGGAAGCUAGGAUGUGGGGACAAAGUAAAGUUUUGGAAAGACAUAUGGAUUGGGAACUUUAAUCUCAAAUCGAUGUACCCAAGGCUUUUUUCUUUGUCUUUAAAUCAGGGGCAAAAGGUGGAGGAGGCUAGAGUGUGGAUUGGAACGGUAUGGCAGUGGUGUUUAAGGUGGAGGCGUCCUAGAUUUGUGUGGGAAUCUGAAUUGGAAGUAGAAAUGAUGAGGCAUUUGUCGUCGAUUAAGUUGAGCAGAGAACAAAAGGACGUCCAAGUGUGGGGGAAUGAUGUAGGAAAUGGGUUCUCUGUGAAUUCUGCUUAUGAUUGCCUUACAAAACAACGUAGAGGCUCACACUCAGAGGUAUUCAUAAACCUUUGGAAGGUUAAAGCUUUCCCUAGUUUGGUGACUACAACGUGGAGGAUCCUUGUUGGGUUUAAUAGUGCCAAAGUUCAAGAGGGGGGUGAAUUGACCUUUUAAAACUUUCUCGCAGAAACAGUGUUUAACACAGUUUUACAGAAAAUAAAUCGAAUUAUGUAAAAAUGAACAGAUUUAUUUCAGCACUGUUUUUGUUUGAAAAGCUUUUAAUACAGCAAGAUUAAUCACAAGAUUAUGCAGAUAGAUUUUCCAGAUGCACACACACAGAUAUCAUAUUGAAAAACAGUGAAACACAGAAAACAACAAACCUUAAUUCCAAUUAAUGUGAUUUAGGUUCAGUUAAGGGCUUGACAAUUAGUGAGACAAUCUAUCACAUACAACCUGUUUUAUUAGCCUUUAACAGAUUAUCAGUGUUCUUGUUAAAACCAGACAGUUUUCCAGAAAUUAAGAACAAUAUGCACAGCGCCCAGAAAGAACAGAUUUAUUUUCAAUUGAACAGAUUUAUUUCUUUGCUGUUUUAUCAAUUAUGCAGAAACGAAAUUGCAGAGAGUGAGAGAGAAUGAACACAAGCANNNNNNNNNNNNNNNNNNNNNNNNNNNNNNNNNNNNNNNNNNNNNNNNNNNNNNNNNNNNNNNNNNNNNNNNNNNNNNNNNNNNNNNNNNNNNNNNNNNNUUAUACUGGUUCACUCAACUGAGCUACAUCCAGUCUUCACCAACACCAGGUGGAAAUCACUAAACCACAGUACAACCAAGUACAAUUCCCACUGUUCUUGAAACCUACAAGAACUUAGGUACUCUUGCUGAAAAAACCUAUUUCAGCACACACACACCCACUCUUCAAGAACACCUAUCAAGAAGAGUGUUCAACCAAACUAUUACAAGAAAUGAGAAGUGAAACGACUCCACCUGAUUGAGGAUACAAAGAUCUACCUUAAACCAGUAGGCAAGAUUGCUAGAACAGUAGCAGCACCUCACACCAAACUUUUGGAACCAAACCAAGAACAAGCACUUUGUGAUUUUUGAAAUCUUUGAAGAACAAAUGCUAAUCAUUUGUAAACUUUUGAUUCUUUGCUGUAAAACUUGUUUUUGCAAAUGUAUGAACUGUUGUUAAACUCAGAAACAAGUUUGCAUUUUAUAGAAAACCAACUUAUAACAGAUUUUUGAAAAACAGUUAAAGCUGUUAUAAAAUGAACAGAUUGAAAAUAAAAUGAACAGAUUUAUUUUCAAAAAACAGUUAGAGAAUUUGUUAAGUGAGGAGACUUAGUCAACCAUUCUGGUGCAGAGAUAAAACUGAAAACGUUUAAGCUUGACAUGGCACCAGAGACAAAAAGNNNNNNNNNNNNNNNNNNNNNNNNNNNNNNNNNNNNNNNNNNNNNNNNNNNNNNNNNNNNNNNNNNNNNNNNNNNNNNNNNNNNNNNNNNNNNNNNNNNNAGUCAAAAUACCUGAUGCACAAAAUCUAAUUUUCACAAGACUUAGCCAAGGCAUCAGUGUAAAAACGAAUCUGUUUAUUUAGAAAAGAACAGAUUUAUUUUUAUGCAGUAAACGUGUUUUUUGUAAAACAUGUGAAAAACAGUUUAAGAAAACUUAUGCUUGUUCUUAUCACAUGGCCAGUGGUUAUGAGGUGAGUUACUCAGCAAAAAGCCCACUCUUAGACAACCUCUAAGCACUACCUAAGACAUACUUAAAGCAAAGCAAAAUACAAAUGUAAUGUACAUAGAUGUCUUCAUCAAACACAAUCUUGAAGGAGCAACAACCAUCUUCAACAAUCCUGACGAACAGUGUACCAACAAGAGAAUGUCUAAGUAGGAGAGGGGUGAUGUUAAAUAAUGCCUUAUGUGCUCUGUGCCAGGUUAAUGCUGAAUCAUGUCAACAUCUUUUUUUGGAGUGUAAACACGCGAUGAGUGUUUGGUUCAUGUGCUUUAGAUGGGUUGGGAUUCUGUUUGUUCAACAUAAUGAUGUAAAGACCCACUUUGAGAAUUUCCACUUGUUUCAGAUUAGCAGUAAACAAAAUAUGGUUUGGAAAGGGAUUUGGACAGCAGUGGUUAGAUGCAUAUGGGACCAAAGGAAUUCGGUGGUGUUCAAGCAAGGUGUUGUGGAUGUGGAGGAGAUUUUUCAAAAGGUACAGUUAAAAUCCUGGUUAUGGGUAAAGCACCAUUCUUCUUUCUUCUCUUAUUCCUUAGUGGACUGGAUUUUGAAUCCAAUCCCCUGUAUAAAAAGCAUUAAGUAAUUGGGGCUGGUAGGUAUUGUUUCAGCUGGGAAUGUCGGGCUUGUUUAACCUCUGUGGGGCACGUGUGCAGUUAUGAAAACUUGUUAUUCUGUGCUGGAGGAUGCUCAAAUAGGUGCAGACAGUAGGCCGAAGUGAUUGGGGUACAUUAGAGGAAUUUAUCGGAUUUAUGCAGAAAGGUGGUUUGGCCACAAUGAGCAAAAGUUAGAGGCAUAGGACCAGUAAGAGGACAUGAAGUUUUGGGGUUGCUGUUUGGGUUUGCUGGGGCUGCAGAGGUCCCGUAAUGGGAUGCAAAGACGCUGAGCCUAGGGUUGUAAUAGGUGGGAUGUUGUUCGACGUGAGGAAUGGUGAGGAAUGGAGAGGUAACUUAUAUAACAACUAGGAUUUUUUUAGUGUAGAUUGACAGGGAGGAGCACCAACCAUGAAGAAUCAGAAUUGGAGAAGUUCUGGAAAAUCCUGCUGCUGGUGCAUAAACAAGAGCAGGAACUUUAUCUGUUUCUUUUUUCUUUGUCUUAGGAACAAAUCUUAUGUCUUUGGCUGAGUAAUUGAAAGCUUCUCCAUGCUUUUAAUUCUCUGGAUUGUAAUUGAGUAUUUGAUAUUUGUAUAAGGGUUGGGAUACCCCUCAAGUGUCCCGUUUUUAUUCAUUAAUUCAUUGCUGAUCAAAAAAAAAAAAAACACCACUAUACUUCUCAACCACAAUUCCUAAAAUUACGCACAAAAAUGACCCAACCAACCUUGUUACAAAUCUUAUAAAAUUAAAUAGAUACAAUUGGUAGAGCUCCAACUAAAGUAAAUUGCUUGUAGUUCAAUAGAAGGGAUUGUGUAUAUGUAUUUUAAAUUCCAAUGGUUAGUGUGAAGAAAUGACACAUAAUCAAUCUUAUACAACUCAUUUCCCCAUCUUCUAUAACAUAUGGUGUUUUUGUUCCAAUCCUAAGUUCCAUUAUAGACUGAUAACUCUUGGUUUUCAAUACUUUUAUAGAGUAAUUGCAUUUUCUUGAGGUUUUUUUUUUGUUUUUAUUUUCUAAUUUUAGAUUAGAUUUGUAUUUUCUUCCAAAUAAUAUAGUUUUAAUAAAAAUAUCAUUAAAAUUGCAUUUUAUAGUUUUUAUUUUGCUUGAAUCAUCUAACGUGUGCUUUGAUCAUUUAAAGGAACAAUUUUUGAAUUGCUUUUGAUCUUGGAAGCUUGGAAGAAGAUGUUGAUGCAUGGAGAUUGGAAACCGACACUUAAAGAGCAUAAAUUAUGCAAAAAUCAGGCAACUAACAGUAAAGAGUUAGUAGUAAAUUGGAACUAGAUGAUCAACUUAACCCUCAAAGAAAGAACUUAAGUUAGUUUAGAAUUGAUCUUUUGGGUCCAAUUGAAAGCCCAUCGUUUGUAAAAAUUAAAAACUCUAUAGAGUAUACAACACCAUUUUUCACUUUAGGCCACGUUGACAUGUCAACGGGUAAAAAAGUGUUGCCUGAAGUAGGUAUAAGUAACAGUUUGUUAUUGUUGUCCAUGCAGUAAGGCUUAUUUCUCUGUGAAAAAUAUUUGGAAAAACGUUGUCUAUUUAUUUUAAGCAACAUUUUAAAAAACGUGGGAUAAGUUAUUAAAAUGUGAUUACUUUAGGCAACGUUUUUAGAAAUGUGGAUAUUUAAUUUUAGCAUUUUAGGCAACAUUUUUUAAAAUACGGAAGCUUUAACUAAUAUUUUAAAUAAUAUUUUUAAAGUGAUUAAAUAACUUUUAGGCCAAGUUUUUAAAUUGUGGAUAAUUAAGCCCACGUAGUGUAAAGACUCGAAAUUCACCUUGUCAUUGAGCUCGAAGUUCGGACUCGAGACUAAGACUCUUGCAUAUAGACAUUGAACCAGGGGAAAUCGCGUCUAAACCCUAAGUUGAAACGAGAAUUCAAAGUCAUUUGUUACGAAUCAAGAGCGGCAUUGUGUGAAUUUUGAUCAACGGUUCAAGGUAACCAGGAGAAAUCGCCUCUAAACCCUUAAGUCAAAACGAGAAUUCAAAGUCGUUCGUUACGAACCAAGAGCGACAUUGUGUGAGUUUCGAUCAACGGUUGAAGGUAACUAGGAGAAAUCACGUCUAAACCCUAAGCUGAAACAAGAAUCUGAAGUCGUUCUUUAUGAAUCAGGAGUGACAUUGUGUGAGGUUCGAUCAACGGUUGAAGGUAAACGGUACGUUCUUCAAAUUGAUUCACCCUUCUCCAUUUCAGGUCAAUCAAUUUCUCUGUCUUCGUAUUAAUCUUUUGCUUCCGUGAUGCAUCACAAUUUUUUUUCCUUUUUAUCAUUGUUUUUCAAUCAUUAUGAUUUUUUUAGGGUUGUUUUUCCAUAUGGUUUUGUUAAUUUGCAUUUUUUUAUGAUUCCCAACAGUGAUUUGAUAAUAUAUGUAGAAUUAUGAGUGUUUAUUUUCCUGUUGAGUUGAAGUUUGGAAUGAAUAUUGGUGUUUUUGUAUUUUGGAGUAGGAGGAUCACAUGUGAAGUUAGAUGAGAUGUUGUUAACAAGACGUAACUCAUGUGGGAUUGGAAUAAUUACUCAACCAUAGUAAUAAGCAGCGAAUAAUAAUUUCCUCAACUUGUAAGAAUUUGUGAGGAUCAAUAACAAAUAAUGGCAACAACAAAAAAUACAUUGAAGAAAAAUACAAAAUUAUUAAUGUAAAAAACCUUUCCAAUGUGAGAAGUAAAAAUCACAUACACAAACCAGUCAAUCAAAUUUCACUAUAAUCAAAAUUAAAAGAGAGUAUCAUAUUAGCACAAAUUACCCUUAAUAAUCACGUUCUUAGUCUUCCGAUAGUUGUUUUCGUAUACUUGGAACCUAAUUACUUGAGUGAAGGCUAACACUAGAAGAUUCAACACAAGACCGUUUAACCUACCCACAUUUAUAAUUCAAUUAUUACUAUCAGUUGGAGGAGACAACAAAUAAAUAUCAAGCUAUUAAGGUUAAUAUCUUUUAUCUUCAAUAUACAAGUGGUUGACAGCUGCAACAAUCUCAAAGUUUCCAAGGGCCUUGCCACCUGCACUGAACAAUCAAUGAGAGAGUAAUGAUGUGAUGAAACAAAAAAUGAAAAAAAAAUUGCAGCCUCUUGUAUCAUUCAAUCCUAGUGUUAAAGCUCUUCUCUACCAUCUUGUACUUUUCUGCAGUGGAAAGUUUUGACUUCAGCAAUCCAUCAACUUGGUCUUUUCCCUCUGUAGCAAUGAAUGAUCUAUUUAACAAUACCACUUCCAUUGGACUUAACAAAGCUCAAAUGGAUUUUGUUCAAAACUACCUCAAUACCACUACCAUUGCACUUCUUUCUCUAAUCCUCUUUUGUUUAUUCUUCUACAAUCCCUUCAAUUUUUUUCACACCAAAGAGGCUCCCACUGUUGCAGGAGCAUGGCCAAUACUUGGUCACCUUCCACUUCUGAGUGGUUCAAAGAGACCCCAUAGAACUUUGGGUGCUUUGGCUGACAAAUAUGGACCCAUUUUCACCAUCCAACUUGGUGCCAAAAGGGCUUUGGUAAUCAACAACUGGGAAACGGCAAAGGAAUGUUUCACCACAAACGACAUGGCCGUUUCCUCUCGCCCCAAGCUCAUCGCGAUUGAACUCAUGGGCUACAAUGCCAUGUUUGGCUUUGUACCCUAUGGUCCCUAUUGGCGCGAGUUACGAAAGAUUGUAACUUUAGAAAUCCUUACUACUCGUCGAGUGGAACAACUGCAGCAUGUUCGUGUCUCAGAACUUCAAAACUCGAUCAAAGAGUUGCAUAAUGUUUGGUGUAGCCAAAAGAGAGAGUCUGGCUAUGCCUUGGUGGAGCUGAAGCAAUGGUUUUCUGACCUCUCAUUCAACAUGGUUCUUCGAAUGGUCGUUGGGAAGAGAUAUUUUGGUGGUGAAAACUUGCAAGAUGAGAAGACAAAGAGAUGUGUGAAGGCUGUGGAGGAGUUCAUGCGUCUGUUGGGGGUGUUCACAGUGGG